rnacentral:rRNA from 1 species
ACGGGUGAGUAACACGUGGGAACGUGCCCUCCGGUCUGGGAUAACCCUGGGAAACUAGGGCUAAUACCGGAUACGUGCUUUGGCAGAAAGGUUUACUGCCGGAGGAUCGGCCCGCGUCUGAUUAGCUAGUUGGUGGGGUAACGGCCUACCAAGGCGACGAUCAGUAGCUGGUCUGAGAGGAUGAUCAGCCACACUGGGACUGAGACACGGCCCAGACUCCUACGGGAGGCAGCAGUGGGGAAUAUUGGACAAUGGGCGCAAGCCUGAUCCAGCCAUGCCGCGUGAGUGAUGACGGCCUUAGGGUUGUAAAGCUCUUUUCUCCGGGACGAUAAUGACGGUACCGGAGGAAUAAGCCCCGGCUAACUUCGUGCCAGCAGCCGCGGUAAUACGAAGGGGGCUAGCGUUGCUCGGAACCACUGGGCGUAAAGGGCGCGUAGGCGGCGUUUUAAGUCGGGGGUGAAAGCCUGUGGCUCAACCACAGAAUGGCCUUCGAUACUGGGACGCUUGAGUAUGGUAGAGGUUGGUGGAACUGCGAGUGUAGAGGUGAAAUUCGUAGA